GCAAGUCGAACGGUAACAGAGGAAAGCUUGCUUUCUUGCUGACGAGUGGCGGACGGGUGAGUAACGCGUGGGAAUCUACCUAGUAGUUGGGGAUAGCCCGGAGAAAUCCGGAUUAAUACCGAAUACGAUCUACGGAUGAAAAGGUGCCUCUUCAUGAAAGCACUUGCUACUGGAUGAGCCCGCGUUAGAUUAGUUUGUUGGUGGGGUAACGGCCUACCAAGACUGCGAUCUAUAGCUGGUUUGAGAGGAUGAUC
rnacentral:rRNA from 1 species